UAGGGAAUCUUCCACAAUGGACGCAAGUCUGAUGGAGCAACGCCGCGUGAGUGAAGAAGGCUUUCGGGUCGUAAAACUCUGUUAUUGAAGAAGAACGUGUGUGACAGUAACUGGUCAUGCAGUGACGGUAUUCAAUCAGAAAGUCACGGCUAACUACGUGCCAGCAGCCGCGGUAAUACGUAGGUGGCAAGCGUUGUCCGGAUUUAUUGGGCGUAAAGCGAGUGCAGGCGGUCUUUUAAGUCUGAUGUGAAAGCCUUCGGCUUAACCGAAGAAGGGCAUCGGAAACUGGGAGACUUGAGUGCAGAAGAGGAGAGUGGAACUCCAUGUGUAGCGGUGAAAUGCGUAGAUAUAUGGAAGAACACCAGUGGCGAAGGCGGCUCUCUGGUCUGCAACUGACGCUGAGGCUCGAAAGCAUGGGUAGCGAACAGGAUUAGAUACCCUGGUAGUCCAUGCCGUAAACGAUGAGCGCUAGGUGUUGGGGGACUUUCCGGUUCUCAGUGCCGCAG
rnacentral:rRNA from 1 species